UGGCUUUCAUCCUAACAACUCAUGCAUUACAUUUCAGCUUUGGGAUAUGAAUAACCUUUCUGUCCUUCCAAAUUCUGCAAACCACCCCCAACAUGAGAGAGAAAGAAGAGUGUGGAGAUGAUCUGUUAGAAAAAUAUUCCGAUGGGAGAAGAAUUUCCAUGCUCUAGGGCUUCCCUCUGAUAAGUCUUAAGUGCUGGCUAAAGAAAUAUUUCCAAGACCUCAAGAGGACCACUUGAAUCAGGAGCAACGUAAGAGGAAAGUAGGUAGAAUGGGGACAGCUUGCAGGCAGAUUGU